rnacentral:rRNA from 1 species
UACGUAGGGGGCAAGCGUUGUCCGGAAUCAUUGGGCGUAAAGAGCGUGUAGGCGGCCUGAUAAGUCGGCUGUGAAAGUCAAGGGCUCAACCCUUGAAUGCCGGCCGAUACUGUCAGGCUAGAGUCCGGAAGAGGCGAGUGGAAUUCCUGGUGUAGCGGUGAAAUGCGCAGAUAUCGGAAGGAACAUCAGUGGCGAAAGCGACUUCCUGGACCAAUACUGACGCUCAUGUGCGAAAGCGUGGGGAGCAAACAGG